rnacentral:misc_RNA from 1 species
GAAAUGCGAUAAGUAAUGUGAAUUGCAGAAUUCAGCGAAUCAUCGAAUCUUUGAACGCACCUUGCGCUCCUUGGUAUUCCUUGGAGCAUGCCUGUUUGAGUAUCAUGAAAUCUUCAAAGUAAAUCUUUUGUUAACUCAAUUGGUUUCUACUUUGGUAUUGGAGGUCUUUGCAGCUUCACACCUGCUCCUCUUUGUUCAUUAGCUGGAUCUCAGUGUUAUGCUUGGUUCCACUCGGCGUGAUAAGUUAUCUAUCGCUGAGGACACUGUAAAAGGUGGCCAAGGUAAAUUCAGAUGAACCGCUUCUAAUAGUCCAUUGACUUGGACAAUACUUUUAUGAUCUGAUCUCAAAUCAGGUAGGACUACCCGCUGAACUUAAGC